GUGCACUGGUUCCUCUCCAGAACACACAACUCUUUGGUUUUUUACCAAAGACUUUCGUGGAGAUGGAACUAUUCUGAGUGAUACUUAAUGUUGACUGAAUGAUAGGAGUGCUCAAGA
rnacentral:snRNA from 1 species